rnacentral:rRNA from 1 species
AACUUUCAACAACGGAUCUCUUGGUUCUGGCAUCGAUGAAGAACGCAGCGAAAUGCGAUAAGUAAUGUGAAUUGCAGAAUUCAGUGAAUCAUCGAAUCUUUGAACGCACAUUGCGCCCCUUGGUAUUCCGAGGGGCAUGCCUGUUCGAGCGUCAUUAC